rnacentral:rRNA from 1 species
UACGGAGGAUGCGAGCGUUAUCCGGAUUUAUUGGGUUUAAAGGGUGCGUAGGCGGCCUGCCAAGUCAGCGGUAAAAUUGCGGGGCUCAACCCCGUACAGCCGUUGAAACUGCCGGGCUCGAGUGGGCGAGAAGUAUGCGGAAUGCGUGGUGUAGCGGUGAAAUGCAUAGAUAUCACGCAGAACCCCGAUUGCGAAGGCAGCAUACCGGCGCCCUACUGACGCUGAGGCACGAAAGUGCGGGGGUCAAACAGG